rnacentral:rRNA from 1 species
CCCCUAGACGUUCUGGGCUGCACGCGCGCUACAAUAAUACGCACAGCGAGUAUCACCGAGCUCGAAAGGGCAAGGUAAACAAUAGAAAAGGUACUGUAAUGGUUAUAGAUCCUUGUAAUUAUUGAUCUUCAACGAGGAAUUCCUAGUAAGUAUGCGUCAUCAUCACGCACUGAUUACGUCCCUGCCCUUUGUACACACCGCCCGUCGCUCCUACCGAUUGAGUGAGCCGAUGAAACUGCCGGAUGUGGACUAUUCAUAGUCUGCAGAAGAUAUUUGAAUCGUAGCGCUUAGAGGAAGGAGAAGUCGUAACA